AGAUCACUUCGUGCCAUAUGAAUAAUCUUUUUUAGCUCUGGAACUUUUUUGUAGGCUUUAUUUUUUUAACGUGGACAUCUUAUUUCUUUUUUGAGAAAAAUUAUAUUGUUUUUGUGUAUUUGGGAAACAAGAAGGGCAAAACAUGGUGGUAUAAUGUGAAGCUAUACAUUUAAAUACUUUGAAUUCUUACAGAAAAGAUUUUAAGAAUUCUCUGCUGAAUAAAAACUAGAGAUGUGAAACAUGAAAUUCGGUAAGAGAAAAAGUAAUUUGGGAUUGUUCUUUUUGUAACUGCAACAAAGUUUGAUGGUGUUUAUGGGGGAAAGUAUAGCGAUAAUCUCCUGUAAUUUUAUCAAUUGUAAUGUUAUUCUGUAGCUCCAAUUAGACCCCUAGCCUGGGAACCUCGAUAUGCCGCAAAUGCAGCCCUAAAAAGACAAAAGACAAAAAAAAGCUGGGUGUUUAAAGUGCUGAGCCACAAGAGAAUUCCAGAAGUGGGUAUUUUCUUAUUCUGUCGUUACAAAUUAGGAAAUUGACACUGGGACAGGUUAAGAAACUUGCCUGAAAUGAUGAGUCUGGCUGCACACGGUAAUGGCAAAGGAGACCUGAAGACCCAGGCUCUGAAUACUGGCGGAACCAGUUCUGUUCAUCCAUGCUCCUUCCACAAAUUCAGUGGCGCCUGUACGUUUCAGGCUUUUUAGGCUCACUUCUAGUUUUAAUCUUCGUCUGUAGCCAUUUAACUUUGAACCCUCUUGACUUUAAUUCAUUUUCUGUUUCUUAAUCUCUUUACCAUCUUCACACAGGUUUUUUUUUGCAAUGUAUUUUUUUUUUAUGUCUUCGAUUCAUGUGAUCAGUCUGUCACUUUGAAUUAGCAGUCACAGUUCACACAGCAUCUUCCCACCAAAGAUUUAGGAAGAAAACAGGGAAGGAGACAUGGAAUUUUUAGUGCAGGGAGACCUAAAACAGAUCAAUUUUGUUAUGUUCUGGUAUGGACUCAUUAGUUGAACUGACACUUGAUAACAUUUAUUCUGUCUGUGUUCACAGUGCUUUGAAAUUGAUUGCUUGUAAAAUUUUACUGCCCAUUUCAACAGAUAUUUAUUUAAUGCCUCCAUUGUGCCAGGUAUAAUGUUUGGCAGUGCAUGGAUGCAGUUUUAGAAAUAUCUUGAACUUGUCUUGGGCAUUCUUUAGGGGAAGUAGUUUUAUUUUUUAUUUUAUUUUUUGGGGGGCGGGGAGUAGUUUUUAAAAAACAUUUGAUCCUCAUUAAUCACAAUAUAGGUUUAUUAGCUGUUAAAAUGUUGUUUGUUCUUUAAUUAAAAGGAAUUAGUAAUGUUUAACUCAUGUAAGUCAAAGAACCAAAAAUUUGUCAGCCUUUUUGGAAUAAAUCAAAGCUAUCAAAAUACAAUCCU
rnacentral:lncRNA from 1 species